GACGAACGCUGGCGGCGUGCUUAACACAUGCAAGUCGAACGGAAAGGCCCUGCUUUUGUGGGGUGCUCGAGUGGCGAACGGGUGAGUAACACGUGAGUAACCUGCCCUUGACUUUGGGAUAACUUCAGGAAACUGGGGCUAAUACCGGAUAGGAGCUCCUGCUGCAUGGUGGGGGUUGGAAAGUUUCGGCGGUUGGGGAUGGACUCGCGGCUUAUCAGCUUGUUGGUGGGGUAGUGGCUUACCAAGGCUUUGACGGGUAGCCGGCCUGAGAGGGUGACCGGCCACAGUGGGACUGAGAUACGGCCCAGACUCAUACGGGAGGCAGCAGUGGGGAAUAUAGCACAAUGGGCGGAAGCCUGAUGCAGCAACGCCGCGUGCGGGAUGACGGCCUUCGGGUUGUAAACCGCUUUCGCCUGUGACGAAGCGUGAGUGACGGUAAUGGGUAAAGAAGCACCGGCUAACUACGUG
rnacentral:rRNA from 1 species